GACGAACGCUGGCGGCGUGCUUAACACAUGCAAGUCGAACGGAAAGGCCCCUUUGGGGGUACUCGAGUGGCGAACGGGGGAGUAACACGUGAGUAACCUGCCCUUGACUUCGGGAUAACUUCAGGAAACUGGGGCUAAUACCGGAUAGGAAUCCUUGCUGCAUGGUGGGGGUUGGAAAGCUUCGGCGGUUUUGGAUGGACUCGCGGCGUAUCAGCUUGUUGGUGGGGUAGUGGCUUACCAAGGCGUUGACGGGUAGCCGGCCUGAGAGGGCGACCGGCCACCUUGGGUCUGAGAUGCGGCCCAGGCUCCUACGGGAGGCAGCAGUGGGGAAGCUUGCACCAUGGGCGGCAGCCUGAUGCAGCAGCGCCGCGUGCGGGAUGACGGCCUUCGGGUUGUAAACCGCUUUCAGCAGGGGCGAAGCUUGUGGUGACGGUACCUGCAGAAGAAGCACCGGCUAACUACGUG
rnacentral:rRNA from 1 species